CAAAUUAAGCAAAUUCUAUUCAUAGUAUGUCCAGAUAUACACAUUCUUUACGGAAAACAGCAAUUAUAUAUGAUAAAAAAAGGUUAUCGACUUUUGAAUGCAAUUACUAUUUAAAUGAUAACCGUGAGGAUGUCCAAGGGCAUACUAUCAUUGUUGUAGUAUAUAGUAUCGCUGCACUGAGCUAUGUCUAUACGAACAUUGUUCUCGUUAAACAUUACGUAACGGACUAAUACUCGACUUAAACUCUCGUUUAAAUGAUCAUUCGAAAAACUUAUCUCGCAACAUCAAUUUUGUCCGCAGAUUCUUCGCCAAUUGUUCCGUCGCCUGGACGAGAUUUAUCAACGGGAUACAACCUGCAAAGAAUUAUAUUUAUAUAAGCAUUACCAUAUAUGGUAACUAAUUAAGUACUGACUCACCAUCUUUGAUACAGGUACAAGAACAAGCAAUGAGGAACCUUCAUCUAGUAAAUAGAGGAAUAUGACAGUCUGACAAAAUCCUGUUCUCACCACAGUCCAUUUACUUAGGCCAACAAGAUUAUCCUUUUUCCUCCAAUAACUGACGUCAUUUUUAAAAGCAAGAAAAUCAAACAGCAACUACAACAACAAGGAAUAUUACAAUACUUAAUUAACUGUUUGAAGUAUACUUUACUGGUUUCUCCAAACACGUACAUGAAUUGCUGUAAUGAAGAAAGUUCCUCCCAAAAUAUAUAUGUUAGUAUCUACAAAAAUUCCUUUUACUUUAUCUACAUCUUUGUCAGAAAACCCGAGAUUCUUUAAGUUCUCCAUAGUGGGUUCAAUUUGUAACAACAGUCUUAAUUUCCCAAGAGAUAUUGGAGAAUAUUGCAAUGUAAUAUUAACCGUAUCAUUCUUAGGUGUAAUUCUCACUAAAUCGCUAUAUCUGCUUUGUACAAAGUCGUUUUUAACAAUAGGUAAAAACUUCCUGCCCUGUAUAAGUCUGAAAAAGUGGAAGAUUGUCAAAAAUUUGCUCUAAAAGAGGUGGUAAAUAAAGCAAUAUAAUUAUUUUAAUCCCAUACUUUAAAUGAUGCACAA